rnacentral:lncRNA from 1 species
UGACGCUCUGGGUGGAUCCACCUCCAGAAACACUGAUGCUGAUGAUAAAUACUGCUGUCAUCUCGAUCAGAGCACAUUCACUGCUUCAUCAUGGACAUCGAUCUGUGCUCAGCUGCUGAGGGUGAUGAGGUGAAGAAGCAGGAGGGCAACGAGGUGGAGUCUGGAAAAAAGGAUGAAGAUAAAGACAAAGGUCAAGAAGAUAAAGAUAAAGAGUGCAAGGACAAAGAUAGUGACAAGGCGAAGAGUGAUUGCAAAGAAAAGAAAAAAGACAAAGAGUGCAAAGACAAAGAUAAGGACAAGUGCAAAGACAAGGACAAGAAGAAGAAUAAAGAGCACAAAAAGGGGCACGGACACAGUCACGGACGUGGACGCGGACACAGAUCAUCCUCUUCAUCCGAUGACGAGAACUAAAGCUGAAGACUGAAGACAUAAGAGUGACUGGGGCAAGUUGUCACAUGGGGGGGGGGGGGGGGGGUAUCAANNNNNNNNNNGUAGAGGGUGAGGGGGGGGGUUGGGGGGGGGGGGGGGGGGGGGGUUAUAUCAGUAACUGUGAGGUUUUGAGUAAAAAAAAAAUUGCACAAAUGAACGUGUACAAAUACAGUGGUUUUAUAUGUUGGUUUUAAACAACCAUUGCACCAUUAAAUUAGGAUAAUAUAUUUGAUGAAUUCUGUCCUACAAACUAAAAUUCCAGUACUAUUAUAUUCUUAUAUAUCAAUGCAAGCUGUUACAUGUUUUUUUUUUUUGUGUGUGUCUAUGAUUUUUUUUGUCACAUUUUUUGCAGUUUGUUUUACUGUUAAAAACAUUAUAUAAUAAGCCUAUAAUGCAUGUAAUAAAUAGCCUAUAAUACAUUCUGAAUAUUAUAGUGUGGAAAAUGGAUUGUGUUAGUAUGUCAUUUUUUUUCUCAAAACAGAUUUAUCCCAUAUACUGUGACAACAUGCCCCGCUAAAGGUCAAUAUGUCAGCAGAACAUGUUUAAUUAACAGGUGUUUUUGUUGUUUUUGAUAAGAAGGUUUGUGACUAUUGAAAAACUGACUUUUCAAAAUAAACUCCAUGAGAAAUAUUUGUUGGUACA